GGAGACUGAAAUAAAAGGCUGUUUAGUUGUUUACUGGAGUAUUUUCUUGAAGCUGUUGUGGAAGUUGUUCGAGAGAGAAAAUGAGGAAGACUCAGUAAGUUGGACAUUUGAAAAAGGCCGCUCCCUUGAUUAAAGCGAUUUAGUCAAUCAUGCUCACAAAACUCACACUGUGGACAUGGGGAAAGAGAUUGGCUGUAGUGUAUAAGUUUUGUCUAAACAACAUUGAAUGUUUAUAAACCAUCAUCACCACCACCAUCAUCAUCAUCACCAUGAUCAUCCUCAUCGUCAUGUUGCAACCAUACAGCAUGAGAAAUGUUUUUAAAAUUGUUCAAAUCAUUUCCUUUUGAUAACACCAUAUUACGCCAUAUGAUACUCUGCAACCCCUCGCAUUGGAACUAGUGAAAGCGAUCACCAAUUUCAUCAAAAUUUCACCAGAAUUACAAGAAGUCACUCAAGAGACAUGCCCUUUGGUUGCGCAAGCAUAAUGACUUGUGUUAAUUCUAGUAUAAAAAAUGUGAGUUGUUGGGGAGAAGACAGUAACUUGACUCCUGAUCACACAGUCAGGCUCCAGCAUCUUGUUAUUGAAGUUUUCAAGAGACUGUCACCAUGGCGACGAUGUUGACCGUCCUUAUCCUACUCAGCAUUGCCUUUGCAUGUGACAGGACCCUGGAACCACCAUCAUCUGGAACCGAGGAGCCGUCCUUCUCAGGUGACAGGACCCUGGAACCACCAUCAUCUGGAACCGAGGAGCCAUCCUCCGGAGUGCGAGAAGAUCAUGAACAGCAACGGGAGAGUUGAUAAUAUUGAUUACCAUGAUGUUGACCAGGGUAUAUAUUUUGAAAUGGAUAUUACAGUGCCAUUUCGGACACAGCCUGAGGGAAAAGCACAGCAAUUGUUUGUCAGAUUUAAUUAGCAUAAUUGUUAACUUUUCUGCUAUACUGUCUUGUAACUUUCCAUAACUAUGUAGACAGUAAGGCCGUACAUGCUGUAAUGUGUCUUUCAUUGAAGCUUUCCUAUCCUCUGUGCUGACUGUCAUUAGCAGACCUGGGCUCAAACAUACUAUCUGAAAUCUUCCAAAUACUUUGAGUGUUUUAUUUAGCCUGUCUGAAGUGCUGGAUGGGCAGUGUUUGCAGUUUUGGGACAAUUGUAUUGGUCCAUUAUACCAUGCAGGCUCAUUCAAGCACAGAUUAAGUAUUUGGAAUGAUUUCAAAUAGUAUUUUAACCAGGUCUGGACAUAAGAAAAUGUUACAUAACAUAUACAUGUAGGAUCCUGUUUUUGUUCUUUUAUCCCUCUCUACUUUACACAGGGCAGGAGGCCUUCCAGGCUUCUGGUCUAGCAGAUGUUAGGAGGAGGCAAGAGGCAGGAGGCCUUCCUGGCUUCUGGUCUAGCAGAUGUUAGGAGGCAGGAGGCCUUCCAGGCUUCUGGUCUAGCAGAUGUUAGGAGGAGGCAGCAUUUUUUUCUCUCUUUUUGCAGUUCUGUCACUAUUGUGAAAGUUGUUUCAGACUUAAAGCAUAUAGCCCAAUUGACAAGUACUUCAUGACUGUGCCACCAGCCAAGGCUGCUGAGGGGAGGACGGCUCAUAAUAAUGGCUGGAAUGGAGUCAAUGGAAUGCUAUCAAACGUGGUUUCCAUAUGGUUGAUACCAUUCCAUUGACUCCGUUCCAGGCAUUUCUAUGAGCCGUCCUCCCCACAGCAGCCUCCACUGUGUGCCACACAUUGUAAUUGAUAUACAGUAUGUUUGCCAAGGUUAUACAGUGUAAGAUUAAGUAGUGUAUGGUUCCAACUUGUAUAAAUCACGGUAACAUAUAAUGUACUAACAAUAUCAAUAUCAUGUUUGCGUUUUCUCUAGGCAAUGUUAAUGUACUGUACUUCUUCAUAUUGCAAUCGGUGAACCAGAACUGUGUGUAUGCGUGUGUAUGCAUUUGUAUUGCUUGAUUAGGACACAGAGAUAAUCAGACUAUUCAGUGUUUACUUCUCUUGAGACGAGUAUGAUGAAGAGAGGGAAAAAAAUAGUUGUCGAGUUGCAUAACGCCCAGGCUUUGGGGAAGUGUUGCUACUAUUAAAUAAAGAAGAGAUGAUUAAUGCAUAUGCUCAUUAUUUCCAUGUGUGGGGCUUCAUUAGUUAACCCCCCUCCCCCACCGGUGAGCGUGCUACUGCUGUUGGUGGGUGUUGGGUUACAGAUGGUAGGUUGAGCGAUGGUAAUCCAACGCGCUAUUUGGAGCAAUGCGUCGGCGGGACUUGGCUCCCAGAGUUCCAGUUCUCAUAUAAGCGGUGAGUUUACACCGGAAAACCAAUAAAUACUUGCUAAAUAGACUCAAACUUCAUCAAAAUAAUGCGG
rnacentral:lncRNA from 1 species